rnacentral:rRNA from 1 species
UACAGAGGGUGCGAGCGUUAAUCGGAAUUACUGGGCGUAAAGCGUGCGUAGACGGUUAUUUAAGUCGGAUGUGAAAGCCCCGGGCUCAACCUGGGAAUUGCAUUCGAGACUGAAUAGCUAGGGUACGGUAGAGGGAAGCGGAAUUUCCGGUGUAGCGGUGAAAUGCGUAGAGAUCGGUAGGAACACCAGUGGCGAAGGCGGUCUCCUGGGGCAUUCUUGACGCUGAGACGCGAAAGCUGGGGGAGCGAACGGG